AAACAAGUAUUAAAGGUCCCGCCUGCCCAGUGAAACAUUUUAAACGGCCGCGGUAUCCUAACCGUGCAAAGGUAGCGUAAUCACUUGUCUUCUAAAUAAAGACUGGUAUGAACGGCUAAAUGAGGACAAAACUGUCUCUUACAGCUAAUCAGUGAAACUGAUCUCCCAGUACAAAAGCUGGGAUAAAAUCAUAAGACGAGAAGACCCUGUGGAGCUUUAAACUAACCGCUAAUAAACACUUACAAUCAUGUUCCUAGCCUGAAGUUUUAAGUUGGGGCGACUUCGGAACAAAAUAAAACUUCCGAGCACAGAACCACCGCUUCUCACCAAGGCUAACAAGCCGAAGCAAAACCCGACCCAGUCACACUGACCAACGAACCAAGUUACCCCAGGGAUAACAGCGCUAUCUUCUUCAAGAGUCCCUAUCGACAAGAAGGUUUACGACCUCGAUGUUGGAUCAGGACACCCAAAUGGUGCAGCCGCUAUUAAAGGUUCGUUUGUUCAACGAUUUAUAG
rnacentral:rRNA from 1 species